GAUGAAGAACGUAGCGAAAUGCGAUACUUGGUGUGAAUUGCAGAAUCCCGUGAACCAUCGAGUCUUUGAACGCACAUUGCGCCCCCUGGUAUUCCGGGGGGCAUGCCUGUCCGAGCGUCAUUGCUGCCCAUCAAGCACGGCUUGUGUGUUGGGUCCCGUCCCCCUCUCCCGGGGGACGGACCCGAAAGGCAGCGGCGGCACCGCGUCCGGUCCUCGAGCGUAUGGGGCUUUGUCACCCGCUCUUGUAGGCCCGGCCGGCGCUUGCCGACACCCAACCAUUUUUUUCAGGUUGACCUCGGAUCAGGUAGGGAUACCCGCUGAACUUAAGCAUAUCAAUAAGCGGAGGA
rnacentral:misc_RNA from 1 species